GUGUUUAACUUCCUCAUUCGUAAUCUCCUUAACCACACAUGCUAGGAUGUUAUCCUAAGUGGUGCCAGUCCCUGGUGUUGGACAGGUGGGGCAGGGGCUGCAGAACAGCUGGGGACUGGAGGACGAUGAUGAAGAUGACUAUGAAGAGGAAAAAAAUGACAACAGUGGUGAUGAGCAAGUGGAAGAAGUGACAAAGAUGGAUGUGGGCGAAGGAGAUGUGGUUGAGAUAUCAGACAGUGAAGAGGAAGAGGUGGUCAUACUAAACCCAGAGGUGCCAGAAAAACCAAAAAAUACAGGCUCCAAGUCUCACCAGAAGGGGGCAGCAGCAUCCAAGAAACGGCAGAAAAAAUGAGGAACGACUGCAGAUGGAGAUUUGUUCCAAAACGUCAACACGUUUUAUUAUAAACACUGAGCUGGAUUUAAAAGAGACUGCAACACGUUAACAAAACAUUAACACGCUGUUUCUAACUGUACUUAGUACAGAUUUUUGGUUAUUUGCUUCACUGAAGAUUAUCAAACCUUUAAACCAUUUAAAGCUGCAUAUGCUCCUGUUCUUCUGCAAGUCAUCUGCUCCCCAUCUCACCUUGUCCUCCACUGUCACACUAGCCCUCUAGAUCUCCUCUACUUGUCACUCCCUAGUCACUCCCAAUGAAAAUCUUAGCAUCCUCACCCUACACCUCAACUUCCUGUCUACUGUCAGUGCCAUCGUCUCCAAUCCAUACAUCACAGCAGGUCUCACUAUCAUCUUGCCAAACUUACCUUUUACUUUUCCUCCCAUCCAUCCAUCUUCCUCUGCUCUUCUAAUCCUCACUGCAUAACCUC